UCAAACUCAACUCCAAAAUUGAUCUAAUGAACUUUCCCAAACCACAUUCCCUUCUUGCAUUUCUGAGAGAAUGGAUUCCCAUUCAUCUGACUACAGUGCUAUCCUGAAAGCAGAUCCAGAGACUUAAGAUUCACCUGCAGGUGAUUCAUUUGGUAGGUAUCAGAAUCUCUGUAGGAGAACUGGGAAGUGGGGCAAAGACCCUUAUAAAGAGUGAACUAUGAAGCAGUUACCAGAAUGGAUAACUGUGGAUUAAACUUGGAAUAACUCUGAGAUCCAGUGUAGAAAACUCAUCUCAGAAACAUGCUGAGAGAUAAAGGGUAUUCGUACAACAGUUUCUGAUAGUCAUUAAUUAUGGACUGUCUCCUAGCGGCAUUGAUUCCUCAGCAUGCCCAACCUGCAGCAGGGACAGCAAAAGCGGCUUCUGUGAUCAGAGAAAGCCCUGAGGUAAGGAAAUGCAAGAGUGAAUGCUGGAGGUCAGGCUGGCAUGCACUGAAGUAUUAGGGUGAGGCGCCAUGGCAAGGGUUGACUGCCUCCAUCUUUUUCAAAUAUACUUGCCUCAUUCAUCACAUUCACAUUGCGCAACCACCACCUCUUUUGAGCUCCAAAACACUGUCAUCACCUCAUAGAAAAC
rnacentral:lncRNA from 1 species